UACGGGGGGGGUAAGCGUUGUUCGGAAUUACUGGGCGUAAAGGGCUCGUAGGCGGCCAACUAAGUCAGACGUGAAAUCCCUCAGCUUAACUGGGGAACUGCGUCUGAUACUGGAUGGCUUGGAUUCGGGAGAGGAAUGCGGAAUUCCAGGUGUAGCGGUGAAAUGCGUAGAUAUCUGGAGGAACACCGGUGGCGAAGGCGGCAUCCUGGACCGGCAUUGACGCUGAGGCGCGAAAGCGUGGGGAGCAAACAGG
rnacentral:rRNA from 1 species